rnacentral:misc_RNA from 1 species
AUAUGAUAAUUAUUAACAAUUUAUAGACUUUGUUUGGGUGUUCAACGGGUUGUCUCGGAUAGGAUUCGUGUUUACAGUCAUUCCCAACGUUUUCAGACGUUCUGGAUACAUUCUAGGUAGCAAAAAUUGCAAAGGCAGUCCUGAACUCAAGUUGUGUAGUUUUACCUUGGCUAAGUUGGUUGGUUAAAUCUAUAAAAUAUUUUUGACUUAGAAAAAUUUAGUAAAAUAAUUUUAAU